rnacentral:tRNA from 1 species
GGAGAGGUGCCAGAGUGGACGAAUGGGGCAGUCUCGAAAACUGUUGUGGUCCUUGGGGCCACCGAGGGUUCGAAUCCCUCCCUCUCCG